AGAUCCUGGCUCAGGAUGAACGCUAGCUACAGGCUUAACACAUGCAAGUCGCGGGGUAACAUCUGGUAGAGCUUGCUCUUCCAGGAUGACGACCGGCGCACGGGUGAGUAACGCGUAUCCAACCUGGCCCAUACCACGGGAUAGCCCGUCGAAAGGCGGAUUAAUACCGUAUGCUGUCAUUAAGAUGCAUAUAUUGAUGACGAAAGGACUGGCGGUAUGGGAUGGGGAUGCGUCUGAUUAGCUUGUUGGCGGGGUAACGGCCCACCAAGGCGACGAUCAGUAGGGGUUCUGAGAGGAAGGUCCCCCACAUUGGAACUGAGACACGGUCCAAACUCCUACGGGAGGCAGCAGUGAGGAAUAUUGGUCAAUGGGCGCAAGCCUGAACCAGCCAAGUAGCGUGAGGGAAGACUGCCCUACGGGUUGUAAACCUCUUUUGUUUGGGAAUAAAGUGCGGGACGCGUCCCGCAUUGCAUGUACCAUUUGAAUAAGGACCGGCUAAUUCCGUG
rnacentral:rRNA from 1 species